rnacentral:lncRNA from 1 species
AUGCUUUAUGGGUCGGCCCUCAUGAUAGAGAUGGACGCUAUAAGGGCAGUUCUGUUUGCUUGUCAACAUGGGGGUUUCUCACAGGUGGUGGUGGAGUCUAAUUCCCAAGUUUCCAUCAAUAUGGUGAAGGGGGAGAGGGUGGUGGCUAUGGAGGCAGAUAGUAUUCUCUUCGACAUCCAGACUGCGAUUCGAGAAUUCCAGAAAUAA